AAACUUAAUACCAAAAAGAUAAAUAAUCCAAUUAAUAAUUGGGCAAAUGAAUUAAACAGACACUUCUCAAAGGAAGAAAUACAAAUGGACAAUAAAUAUAUUAAAAAAAUAUUCAACAUCUUUACUGAUGAGGGAAAUGCAAGUUAAAACUACACUGUGAUCUCGUCUCACACCAGUCAGAAUAUCAGUCAUCAAUAAUACAAACAAUAAUGACUGUGGAGGACAGGAUGUGGAGAAAAAAGAACACUUUUAUACUGGUUGUUGGAUUGUAAAUUAAUACACCACUAUGGAAAUCAGUAUGGAGAUUCCUCAAAACACCUGGCAUGGAACCACCAUAUGAUCUAGCUAUUCAUCAUUCCUUGGUAUUUAUCCUAAAGAACUGAAGUUAUCAUACUAUAGUGAUACAUGCAUACUCAUGCUUAUAGCAGCAAAAUUUAUAAUGGACAAAUUAUGGAACCAGCCCAGGUGGGUUCAUCAUCAACCAAUGAAUGGAUAAAGAAAAUGUAGUAUAUAUAUACACAAUGGAGUUUUAUUUGGCCAUAAGGAAAAAUGAAAUUAUGUAACUUGCAGGAAAAUGUAACAUAACUUGAGAACGUUAUGCUAAGCAAAAUAAGCACAACUCAGAAUGUCAAGGGUCAUAUAUUUUCUCCCAUAUGUGGAAGCUAGAGAGGAAAAAGGAAAUGAAAGUUGGGGGAGUGGUCAUGAAAAGGGAAAGGGCAUAGGUAGAAUAAAGGAAAGGGACCCGGAGAUGGGAAGAGGAUAAGGAGGGGAGAAAUGCUGGGGAGUGAUAUUAGACAAAUUAUAUCGUUAUAUUGUAUGCAUGUACGAAUAUGUAACAACAAAUCCCAUCGUUGUGUGCAACUAUAAUACUCCAAUAAAAAAAGUGGAAAGAAAAAAGAUCUCUUAAGAAAAAAGUUUAUUGUGCUAAAGGCAUCACUCCAUAUGUUUUAUAGAGAGAAUGAAGAAGUAUUUAAAUGAAAGUCAAUUAACAGAACUUUUACUGUACAUUUGAAAAUUACAUUUUCACUAAUAACCAGUUUACUAAAUGGGAUUCUCAC
rnacentral:lncRNA from 1 species